AACGCUAGCUACAGGCUUAACACAUGCAAGUCGAGGGGUAACGAAAGGGAAGCUUGCUUUCCUUGUCGACGACCGGCGCACGGGUGAGUAACGCGUAUCCAACCUGCCCAUUACCACGGGAUACCCCGUCGAAAGGCGGCCUAAUACCGUAUGCAGUCGUCAGAUGACAUCAGAGGACGACGAAAGGAUUGGCGGUAAUGGAUGGGGAUGCGUCUGAUUAGGUAGUUGGAGGGGUAACGGCCCACCAAGCCAUCGAUCAGUAGGGGUUCUGAGAGGAAGGUCCCCCACAUUGGAACUGAGACACGGUCCAAACUCCUACGGGAGGCAGCAGUGAGGAAUAUUGGUCAAUGGGCGAGAGCCUGAACCAGCCAAGUAGCGUGCAGGAUGACGGCCCUAUGGGUUGUAAACUGCUUUUAUACAGGAAUAAAGUUAGCCACGUGUGGUUAUUUGUAGGUACUGUAUGAAUAAGGACCGGCUAAUUCCGUGCCAGCAGCCGCGGUAAUACGGAAGGUCCAGGCGUUAUCCGGAUUUAUUGGGUUUAAAGGGAGCGUAGGCCGCAAGUCAAGCGUGUUGUGAAAUGCAGGGGCUCAACCUCUGGAUUGCAGCGCGAACUGGCAUGCUUGAGUACGCACGAGGUAGGCGGAAUUUGUGGUGUAGCGGUGAAAUGCUUAGAUAUCACGAAGAACUCCGAUUG
rnacentral:rRNA from 1 species